CCACCUUGGAAAUGUUUUCUUGUCUCAUCCCCAUGAAUAGGCAAAUGAAGCUGUGAACUCACAGGGAAGGAUUGAGCUGCUGUCAUCCUCUUCCUUGCGACCCAUCUCCUCCAGAGUGGAAGCAGGGAACGCUGUGAGGAAGAGGAGGAGGAGGAGAGAUUGCCUUUGCUCUGAGUCACAACCUUCCCCUCUCCUCUGUGGUGCCACGAAGGAGAGCCCAGCUCUGGGUGCCCUGAGAGCAGUGAUGGGAGCAGCCCACCA